GUGGCCAUGGUGUAAUGGUUAACACACUGGGUUGUGGUUCCAGUAAUACGGGUUCAAUUCCGUUGGCCACCCCA
rnacentral:tRNA from 1 species